rfam:Myotis lucifugus cont2.70159, whole genome shotgun sequence.
GGCCUCCUUCUGCAGGGUGAUCGAUCGUGGAGCCCCUGCCCCCCCAUUGAUUGCCCUGCAGAGGGUGGCC